GACGAACGCUGGCGGCGUGCCUAAUACAUGCAAGUUGAGCGCUGAAGGUUGGUACUUGUACCAACUGGAUGAGCAGCGAACGGGUGAGUAACGCGUGGGGAAUCUGCCUUUGAGCGGGGGACAACAUUUGGAAACGAAUGCUAAUACCGCAUAAAAACUUUAAACACAAGUUUUAAGUUUGAAAGAUGCAAUUGCAUCACUCAAAGAUGAUCCCGCGUUGUAUUAGCUAGUUGGUGAGGUAAAGGCUCACCAAGGCGAUGAUACAUAGCCGACCUGAGAGGGUGAUCGGCCACAUUGGGAAUGAGAAACGGCCCAAACUCCUACGGGGGGCAGCAGGAGGGAAUCUUCGGCAAUGGACGAAAGUCUGACCGAGCAACGCCGCGGGAGUGAAGAAGGUUCUCGGAUCGUAAAACUCUGUUGGUAGAGAAGAACGUUGGUGAGAGUGGAAAGCUCAUAAAGUGACGGUAACUACACAGAAAGGGACGGCUAACUACGUG
rnacentral:rRNA from 1 species